rnacentral:rRNA from 1 species
AAGCAACGCGAAGAACCUUACCAGGCCUUGACAUGCAGAGAACUUUCCAGAGAUGGAUUGGUGCCUUCGGGAACUCUGACACAGGUGCUGCAUGGCUGUCGUCAGCUCGUGCGUGAGAUGUUGGGUUAAGUCCCGUAACGAGCGCAACCCUUGUCCUUAGUUACCAGCACGUUAUGGUGGGCACUCUAAGGAGACUGCCGGUGACAAACCGGAGGAAGGUGGGGAUGACGUCAAGUCAUCAUGGCCCUUACGGCCUGGGCUACACACGUGCUACAAUGGUCGGUACAAAGGGUUGCCAAGCCGCGAGGUGGAGCUAAUCCCAUAAAACCGAUCGUAGUCCGGAUCGCAGUCUGCAACUCGACUGCGUGAAGUCGGAAUCGCUAGUAAUCGUGAAUCAGAAUGUCACGGUGAAUACGUUCCCGGGCCUU